GUACAAGAACAGGGACUGAGGCACAGCUGAAGGGUCUGUCGGCGGGGCGGGGAGGUGGAGGCUGUGGCCAGAGGCUCCCAGUCCGGUUCUCCUGAUGCUGAAGCUCAGGGUGAGGGGCAGCGCCCUGUGCCCUAGGGACACGGAGCUGAACCUGCAGGAGAAGGCCAUUGGCACGGAUGAACUAUUUAGCGCCUCCCUUUGUGGCUGGGUGUGGGGCAGGGCUCCGGCUGCCACAUCAACAUUUCAGAUGUGUCUUUCCUCUGCGCACAACUGCGAGCUCAUGAAAGCGGGCCCAGCUCCAACUUCGUCAUUAAACCCUUCCACCCAGAGCGGAUUCUGGCGCAUACAGCACCCCAGAGAGAGGCUGCCUGCCCAUCGUCCUGGGUCCUGGAUGCAGAUGACACUGAACAGAGCCAUCACUGCGCUGCACAGGCAUGGGACGGAGUGACAGUAAAUCUCCCUUGUUGAAAGCUACGGAGGCUCUGGGGCCUUCUGUUACUGUGGCGGUUCCGGUCCCACCCUGACUGACACAUCAUGCGAUUUUUGCCACAGGACAGUGGUUUUCGGGGAUCACGGGGAGUGGCUGAGUUAAUGAGCGACGCAGACAGCCACAACUGACGGGUUAAAUCAGGUUAGAAUCACCCGCUCCUGUGCACGAACAGAGGAUGACUCACUCGGCAGCUAGAAAGUGCUUUGAAGAUAAUAAGCACUGGGGGAUGGCGGGGCACCCCGUUCCUGACUUCCAGGGUCCCCUGCUUCCACUCCCCUGCCUUGGGCCUUUGGAGUUGCUCCCUGAACAGAGG